CAGGCUGCCCCAUUGUUCUCUUUCAUCAAUAGGUCCCAAACCCAGGAGAUUCUCUCCUGAGAAAUGGGCCCUGGAUCCCCACUUCCUCCAGAUCCACCCAGCUGCGCGCACUUGCUGUGGAUUCUCCUGGAGUUGACACCCACUGCCACCUUCAUCUUCCUUGGAGAACAAUCAUGCCAGGAAGGUCACAGGAGCUGGAGCCAAAAUCCCAGCUCUGACAUGACAUUUCUCUAACCUGUUUCUCAUCUGUAAAAUGGAGACAAUCUCACAGAGCCGUGGUUCCAAUGAAAGACAUUGUGGGAGAGCAAACCCACAGUGUGGAAUGAAUGGGAGACUUCCCUAGAAAAGAGGUCUAGGUAUCAGCUCACCUCUGUUUAUUCUCUUUGUAACCCAGAACAAGGGCUGAAACCUUCAGGCCUCAGUUUUCCCAUCUGUGAAGUGAUCACCUCAGCACCUGCCUCACUCGAGGGUGGUGUGGAUUAAACCUAAUGCUACACGUAAAUGUCUCUGAAUUUUUCCUGGGAGAAACCCCCCAGACCAUGUAUGUUAUUCUAAUUUCCAAUUCUUCUUCAUCUGAACUCCUCACCCCAGCAUCAAACGUCUACCAUACUUUAAAUUCUUUCUUCCCUGGCCCUGUCUCUCAACACAGCAAGCAUUUCAACACCCAUGCAUUCAUUUGACAAAUAUUCACACUUUGCCUCUCCUCUGACUGCAUGACUUGGUGCUCCGUGGCACAGAGCGCUGUGGGUAGUGACUUCUGCACUGGGCCUGUGAUAGGAGGGGUCUGGGCAUCAAACACAGCACCACGAAUCCCUCGGUGGUGUCUUCUCCUUCCAGGCUUGGCUGAAAGGUAGCCUCAGCCCUGACCUGUCCCUCCACAGCCCCGGGAGGAGACACCAGUCCUUUUUCACUUCCAAGGUUUGCUACUAAUGUCUAUAGGCAAAUAGGGGUUUAUAAAAACUCCAAAGGCUCCUCACUCCCAUUUUGAUCUUAGAGCUGCAAUUAGGGGCUGCAGCUCUGAUCUUCUUAGGAUGGCUCCUAGAAUGUCACUGGCGGGGCCCAAGUCACCUCCUACAUUCCGCAUUGUUGGGUUGGGGGGAGUUCGCCAGAGCUCCUGAUGCACCCACUUCUCCGAGAGGCAACUGAGGAGUGAAUACAGCAUCACAGCAGGUUCACCAUGAGCCACCUGUUUCUAAACAAUCCAUUUGGCUGACCCCCUGGACAUCCACACUCAGCCAAGAGCACACUGAUGAAUGUCUUACAUGGCUCAUGACCUCUAUGAAUGAGUCUGUGCUGGGAAAACUGGAUAUUCAAAUGCAGAAUGACAUUAGACCCCCACCUCUCUCCAUAUACAAAAAUCAACUGAAAAUGGAAGACUUAUAUAAAUGUAAGAACUGAAAUAAUAAAACUACUAGAAGAAAACAUAGGAAAAUACUUCAGGACAUUGGUCUAGGAAAUGAUAGGAAUAAGACCUCAAAGGCACAAGCAACAAAAACAAAAAUAAACAAAUGAGUUUAUUUCAAACUAAAAAGCUUCUGCCCAGCAAAGGAACCAAUCAACAGAGUGAAAAUACAACCUACAGAAUGGGAGAAAACAUUUGCAAACUACUCAUUCAACUGAGGAUUAAUAGCCAA
rnacentral:lncRNA from 1 species